rnacentral:lncRNA from 1 species
GUUCCCUUGCGCUCGCCUGCAGGGUAGUCACAUCUGUGUCUGUGAACAAGAACAUUCUCCCUGGUGUCUUUGAAUCCCCACACCUGGCCAAAGCCAAAAAUAACACAUGUUGUUGGGGGGAAGUUGGGCCACAUAUACCUGGGCACCAUCGUUUGAGUCCUAAAAGGGUGCUGUGGGCCCAGGAUCUGGACGUGAAUCUGACUGCCACAGCACAAGCACUGUGGGACUGAGAACUGUGGGCUCAGGCAGGAUCCAAAGGCUGCCUAGAGUGUGGCCAUGUGCCUGUGAGCCGGGAUGGAGCCACCUGCUUGCAUCUCUGAGUCCUUGAGGGUCUUGGAGUGAGCCUCUUACCUGGGCUUCCAUUCUGAAGACCCCGGGGUCCUGAGAGGAGUGCCCCACUCUCCAGAGUGGUGGUGGAUGCCUGCGACAUGGAGGUGCAGAUGGAGCUGGAGAUUGAUGGUACCUGGGGCUGGAAGGAGAUGGCCGGCCUCCAGAGCCCACCCUGAAGCACCUUUUCUGAUUUCGUGGGGUCUGGAGAGAACAGGAGGGCUGGAGGAGCUUUGGCGUCUCAGAGCCCGUGCCUCUGUUCCUCGGAGGCUCCAGGCCUUUCUAGUCACUACAGCCGGCAGAGCUGGGUUGUGGCCCUGGACGGAGGGUGGGAGACUGCAGGGCCUCAUGUGACACGGGGCGGGCUUGGGGACAGCAUGGGGGAGGUCCUCCUGCAGCCUUCAGGGGUGAGGCAGCCAGCUGUGUCGCAGUGAUAAUGCGGUGGGGGUCGGGGGCCUGCAGCUGUGCCCAGAGCUUCCUCGUCAGGAACCAUCUGCCUGGUUGCCGGUUCUCCCUCCACCAUGCCAUUCCGGUCUGACUUCCCAACAACUUCCUCCUAUCCCGCCUGUAGCCCUGAGACCUCCCACUGGGCCCAAUCUGGUGUGGCUCAUGCAGUGUGUUUCCUCCACCCUGGAGUAAUGUCCAUCCUGGCCAGAGCCUCUGGCUUAUCUGUCUAUCUUCCCAUGGGGCAUAGCCCUUCCUGUGGCCUGGGAGGUCCAGAGACUCCACCCACUUUGCCUGCCUUCAGCCACACUUUGCCCAAGACCAAGAAUCCCUUUCUAUUUGCCCUCCAAUGAAAGACCUAUUGGGGGUGGGGGCAGAGUCAGGAGUGAGUAUAGUCAGGACUCUGACCAUCCUCCUGCCCACCCAUGGCUCAGGUGGUCUCUCCAUCACCAUCAGUGGUUCUCUGGUCACCUCUUGCCUGGAAGAAUCUCCAUUGUCAUGUUGUGCCUGGCCUCAGAUAGGAUCAGGGUCACAGUCUAGUCUCCCAGCUGUGGAAACCCAAUCCUAUAUUACCUUCUUUAAAGGAAGCUUGAGCCAAACAGGCCACACAUAGGCAGUUGGCCUCUCUGCUUGGUGGCCUGGAGCUUGCUAGAAAGGCUGUCUACUUGGGAGAAACUCCAGGCCCCUUUCCAGGUGAAUCCCACUAGAAAUAACGCUAUUAUAGCUUCAGGUUCCAGAGAAAGCCACUUACUAAACGGUGAUGAAACUAUAGGGUGGUUUCAUGGGAAGGAAUAAUGUUUUCUUAAACCUGGUAGGGGUUCCCAGAAAUGGUCCUAGGAUGCUAGUAGGGCCACUAUGCUUUGCUUUGAUUUAACGUUUAGCUUGUUCAUGUAGAUAGUUGGCUACUAAAAACCCCUUGUUUCAUG